rnacentral:rRNA from 1 species
AUUGAACGCUGGCGGUAGGCCUAACACAUGCAAGUCGAACGGUAACAGGAAACAGCUUGCUGUUUCGCUGAUGAGUGGCGGACGGGUGAGUAAUGUCUGGGAAACUGCCUGAUGGAGGGGGAUAACUACUGGAAACGGUAGCAAAUACCGCAUAACGUCGCAAGCCUAAAGAGGGUGACCUUCGGGCCCCUUGCCACUGGAUGGGCCCGGAUGGGUUUACUUAGAAGGUGGGGUAACGGCUCACCUAGGCCACGAUCCCUAUCUGGUCUGAGUGGAUGACCAGCCACACUGGAACUGAGACACGGACCAGACUCCUACGGGAGGCAGCAGUGGGGAAUAUUGCACAAUGGGCGCAAGCCUGAUGCAGCCAUGCCGCGUGUAUGAAGAAGACCUUCGGGUUGUAAGGUACUUUCGGCGGGGGUGAAGGGAGUAAAGUUAAUACCUUUGCUCAUUGACGUUACCCGCAGAAGAAGCACCGGCUAACUCCGUG